GGAGAGGUGGCUGAGUGGCUGAAAGCAACCGCCUGCUAAGCGGUUGGACUGGCUAAUACUGGUCCCCUGGGUUCAAAUCCCAGCCUCUCCGCCA
rnacentral:tRNA from 1 species